UACGGAGGGUGCAAGCGUUGUUCGGAAUCAUUGGGCGUAAAGCGCGUGUAGGCGGCUUGGCAAGUCGGUUGUGAAAGCCCGGGGCCCAACCCCGGAACUGCAUCCGAAACUGCCUGGCUAGAGUCCCGGAGAGGAAGGCAGAAUUCCCGGUGUAGGGGUGAAAUCCGUAGAUAUCGGGAGGAAUACCAGCGGCGAAGGCGGCUUCCUGGACACCAACUGACGCUGAGACGCGAAAGCGUGGGGAGCAAACAGG
rnacentral:rRNA from 1 species